UCCUAGUCAAACUUCUGUUUACUUGGAUUCCUGCAGUACUUUAAUUUCGUUCAUCCUUGGAAACCAGUGCGUCUUACGUUCGUUUGUUGGUCCAUGCAAGCGCACUAAAUAAGUUACUCCUGAAACUCCCUUUGUUCAUGUCAUCAAAUAUAUGUCAAUGGAUGAAGCCUAACACAACUUUGCUCCUACUGUUUUUGAUACUGUCAAUUGAUCGAUCUGCCGAGGCAGUCAUGCAUGCUUCAUCGACCGCUCAUGAUUGGUGAACAAGAAAGCAACCAACAUACAUGAUACAGAGACACAAAGAAGGGCUGCCGACGCGAAGGCCAUCUUGAAGAAAGCCAUCAGCAUCUCUCUAGGACACCCGAGCACCAAGUUCAGCCUUGAAGAGAACAAAAAAUAUUUAAACUUUCCAUUGGCAUUUCUGACGGGGGCGAAGAAACUACCGAGCGAUGCAGUCAUGCAUGCUUCAUCGACCGCUCAUGAUUGGUGAACAAGAAAGCAACCAACAUACAUGUUACAGUAGUCAUGUUACUCUUUCCUAUUGUUGACCAUUUUGAUGACAGCAUAGAGAUUGAUGUUGUGCCUAGCAGUUCGUGACAGCAGUCGCCUGACGAAACUGAAGAGGAAAACAGAGUAUCGUGUAACAGGACCGUCUCAGUCUAAUCUGGUCAUUAAUAGUAACUCCAUUUUACCAGGGAGAUGAAAUGCCGAUGUAUUGAGGCGUUAAUGUUCUAGUGUGAAGAAUCUUCUACUACUAACUUUUUUUUAACAAAGGUAGAAUAUUAUACUGAACUUUAAUAGUUCGUGACA